GGUCCACAGCAAACCGACGUCUAAUUGGAUGCUGUUAUUACGGUCAUCUGUAUUUCAUGUUAGUAAUCACCUCACUGUAAUUAAAUGAAAACAAUAAAAUGCUAAGCUUUGAAAAGUCAGUCAAGUCUUUAGGACACAACAGAGAGUUUUCUUAUAAUAAAAAACAAGUUGUGUUAGUGCACGUCUUUGAUCCCAGAAGGUGGGAGGCGGAGGCAGGCUGACUGUGUGAGUUCAAGGUCAUGGCUUGAUCUACAUACGAAAUUUCAAACUAGUCUAGGCUUUGUGGUGAUCUCUCUCCUGGAGAGAGCAAGGCAGCAGGGCGAGGGUGGGGACGAAUGAAUCAUGGAAAGCAGGGACCUGUAGGAUGGCCACAGAGCUGGAGGGGCUGGCCUGUGGCUUCAGGAGCUGCCACUCUGGCCUGACUGCAGUUCUGGCCAGCUAGUGUGAUCUCUCCCAGAUAUAGUUUCCACACUCAAGAGAGGAAAGGGACCCAGGAUUCAGGCUACGAUGUAUCUUUGGCAGAUUAUGCUCAGAUUUGGCAGUCAUGAAGUCUGCAUGGGUCAAGAAAGCUGUGGCCAGGGCUGGAGAGAUGGCUCAGAGGUUAAGAGCACUUGCUGCUCUUCCAGAGGUCCUAAGAACAAGUCCCAGGAACUACAUGGAUAUUCAGAACUAUCUAUUAUGAGAUCCGUUGCCCUCUUCUGGCAUGCAGGAUAUAUAUGUGUGUGUGUGUGUGUGUAUGUGUAAAUCUGUGGACAAUCCUGUUCAGCAGGAAAUAAAAUCUUUGUG
rnacentral:lncRNA from 1 species